rnacentral:lncRNA from 7 species
CACACAUGCUUGCCCCUGCCAGUAAUCCCAACUCACGUCACUAUUCCCGCUCAUUCCCAUCCUGCUUCACACACGCCAAGAAUCCACCACAAUCCCAUCCAUCACAGCCACACACCACAUACACACACCAAGUCGCAUGAAUAGUAUAUGUAUAGGGUAGUAGCAUGAUAUCAAGUAGGAGCAAUGAUAUCAACAAAGGCUUAUCAAUCAAACGGCAUGAAUAUCAAAAGGCGAGACAUUCAUGAAGGCUAGGAAUGAGAUCUCGGGUUUUUAGGGGUCUCACUCCCAUUUGUCGCUCGGAACUUUGGCCUAGCACUACUGCAUAUAAUCAUGUCUAUAGGAAGGGCGAGGAUGUUAGGGUGACCUAUUGUAGUGAAGUCCUCCUCGAGCUCGGGGACAUACUCCGAGUCGUCGGCUUCCUCCUCAGGCUCCUCGGGUCCUAGUAUCGACAAGAUCCCGAACAAAUCGGGAGCACAAACAUUCAAUAAGACGCAAAAAGAUGCAACACCAAGCAAGAUGGGUAAUACCGGGGUUAGGUUUAUUCAUUAGGUGGAGAUGGGAAGUUAUCAGGUAUUAUUCGAAGUUA